rnacentral:pre_miRNA from 1 species
UUAACGCAAAUUUGUAUGGAGUUAGAACAGCGCCUCUAGCGGCAAACGUAGGCAAACGUUCCAACUCCAUACAAAUAUGAGUUA